rnacentral:rRNA from 1 species
UACGUAGGGUCCGAGCGUUGUCCGGAAUUAUUGGGCGUAAAGAGCUCGUAGGCGGUUUGUCGCGUCUGCUGUGAAAUCCCGAGGCUCAACCUCGGGCCUGCAGUGGGUACGGGCAGACUGGAGUGCGGUAGGGGAGAAUGGAAUUCCUGGUGUAGCGGUGGAAUGCGCAGAUAUCAGGAGGAACACCGAUGGCGAAGGCAGUUCUCUGGGCCGUAACUGACGCUGAGGAGCGAAAGCUAGGGGAGCAAACGGG